rnacentral:lncRNA from 1 species
AGCAAGAGCGACGCAAGAUGGCAGCCACCACGGGCUCGGCUGGAACAGUGCUGAGUCAAUUCAUUUACCAUGACGCUGCCCCAGGCACUCCCAGAAGAGAGAUUCUGAGUCAGGCCAGACUGCUGGGUAAAACUUCUCACCAGAAUAACACUCCUACCGGGUCGUAAUAAACGAAGGGGCCCAGUGUGCUGGUGGUAGCCAGCAAUAAGGUGCUGUUGCAGCUCAGCCCUGCUUGCAGUCACUCGGUUGGCUACCUACAAUCUGGGUUAACAGCUGCCCGGUUCUAACUUCUCCAGACCCUGACAGUUAAAAAGAGUAAAAGUCCCUCGCAAUUUCCGACUGUUGGAAGAACUCGAAGAAGGCCAGAAAGGAGUAGGAGAUGGCACAGUUAGCUGGGGUCUAGAAGAUGACGAAGACAUGACACUUACAAGAUGGACAGGGAUGAUAAUUGGGCCUCCAAGAACAAUUUAUGAAAACCGAAUAUACAGCCUUAAAAUAGAAUGUGGACCUAAAUACCCAGAAGCACCCCCCUUUGUAAGAUUUGUAACAAAAAUUAAUAUGAAUGGAGU